rnacentral:rRNA from 1 species
GCGUGAGUGAAGAAGGCCUUAGGGUUGUAAAGCUCUUUCAGACGUGACGAUGAUGACGGUAGCGUCAGAAGAAGCCCCGGCUAACUUCGUGCCAGCAGCCGCGGUAAUACGAAGGGGGCUAGCGUUGUUCGGAAUUACUGGGCGUAAAGCGCACGUAGGCGGCGCGUCAAGUCAGGGGUGAAAGGCCUGGGCUCAACCCGGGAACUGCCUUUGAGACUGGCGUGCUGGAGUCCGGAAGAGGGUGGCGGAAUUCCCAGUGUAGAGGUGAAAUUCGU